rnacentral:rRNA from 1 species
GACGAACGCUGGCGGCGUGCCUAAUACAUGCAAGUCGAACGCUUCUUUCCUCCCGAGUGCUUGCACUCAAUUGGAAAGAGGAGUGGCGGACGGGUGAGUAACACGUGGGUAACCUACCCAUCAGAGGGGGAUAACACUUGGAAACAGGUGCUAAUACCGCAUAACAGUUUAUGCCGCAUGGCAUAAGAGUGAAAGGCGCUUUCGGGUGUCGCUGAUGGAUGGACCCGCGGUGCAUUAGCUAGUUGGUGAGGUAACGGCUCACCAAGGCCACGAUGCAUAGCCGACAUGAGAGGGUGAUAGGCCACACGGGGAAGGAGACACGGCCAAGACUCCUACGGGAGGCAGCAGUAGGGAAUCUGCGGCAAUGGACGAAAGUAUGACCGAGAAACGCCGCGAGAGUGAAGAAGGUUUUCGGAGCGUAAAACUCUGUUGUUAGAGAAGAACAAGGACGUUAGUAACUGAAAGUCCCAUGACGGUAUCUAACCAGAAAGCCACGGCUAACUAC